rnacentral:sRNA from 1 species
GUGUACCACUCGGACACUGCGGUUCUGAGCGCGCCGUCUACACCCACCUGACGGCUGCUCACUACGUUUUUGUUAGCC